UACGAAGGGGGCUAGCGUUGCUCGGAAUCACUGGGCGUAAAGGGCGCGUAGGCGGCCGUUUAAGUCGGGGGUGAAAGCCUGUGGCUCAACCACAGAAUUGCCUUCGAUACUGGACGGCUUGAGUAUGGUAGAGGUUGGUGGAACUGCGAGUGUAGAGGUGAAAUUCGUAGAUAUUCGCAAGAACACCAGUGGCGAAGGCGGCCAACUGGACCAUUACUGACGCUGAGGCGCGAAAGCGUGGGGAGCAAACAGG
rnacentral:rRNA from 1 species